CUGUUACUCCAUCUCCUUCAGUCUACAGGCUGACCUCUAAAGAUGAUGAGGAUUUGGAGAUGUGCCUUAUCACAGAUUACUCCCCUGGAAACCUUACACUUAACUCAGCUGAGAAGCAGAUAGAUGCUGUUGUGGAGGUCGCAACAUCUGACAGUAAACGUGAAGCGAGCUACGUGUCAACCUACUGGGCCAAGAAGGAUGAAAUGCAGUGUGGAGCAAAUCACGAGGGCUUUGGAGAACUGGAGAGCGAGGAUCCUGAAAGCGGUGUCAGCGCUGUCUGCAUUACAGGGAUGUCUCUACACUUCAGGACAGAUGAAAUCCUGAACAGACUGUCUUUAUCACAUCUGGGCCUGAAAAUAAUUUUAAUGAAAGCAACAAUUUUUAACGUGCUGAUGACGAUGCUCGCGUGGAAAAAAAAGUGA